CCACUCAUCUCUGUCUGUGUGCAUGUGUGUCUCUCUCUCAAAAAAUAGACGUUAAAAAAUAAAAAGGAAAACGGUUUUGCAAUUUCACAGUAAGUUCAGCAUAUGCUUAUAAACUAGACGAUCCCAUUUUGAUGACAUUCUGAAAAAAGGCAUACCUAUGGGGACAGAGAACGGAUCGGUGGUUGCCAGGGUUUAGGGGUUGGGGUGUCUCCAAAGGCGACAUGUGGGAAAUUUGGGGUGUGACGGAACUACGUGGGUUGUGAUGGCGAUGACGCGACUGUGUGCCCGCCUCAAAACUCCCAGAAUCGUGCACUAGAAAGGGUGGGCCCAUGGGUGGACAGCUACCCUGAACGAAACCAGUAACAUGCUCUCUUUUGAGACUUCGCUGUAAGAGACGUGGAAACCACAGUCCAGAGGGUGUAGCUUUUGGCUUGCAGAUAUGUUUUGUUUGGCCCGCACAAUGUUUAAAGAAAUCGAAUUAAUUGCCAACAUUAAAAAAUGGGAGAUUUCACAUAAAAAUCCAGAUUUCCGGCUUCUCUUUGAGAAAUGGGAGGGUCCGGUAAAAUGGGCUCAAGUUCCCGCCUGGAGACAAUGGCUGGAACAGAGACCCUCACCCUCUUCCCACCAGCACACCGUCUGUGUGCGCACAGCCGCUCUGGCUCCCCGGAGAACCCAGCAGUGGCUGUGUUUAUGCGGUCAGUCUGGCUACGUACGAGUGUUCAGGGAAAAACGAAACAUUUCUUGCACCUUCCACUUCCGUCAAAAGUGGGAAAGCAAAAGGUAAAUUCAUGUCCCGUGAGAAACGAGAAUGGCGUACUACUCUGCGAAAGCAAGCUUUAUUCCAAUGGCGUGUGAUAAGCAAACCAGACGGAUGUGCGCUGGAAGAACACAGAUUUAGAUUCCUCGAAGCCAGCGAGGCUCUCUGGGCUCGGCUGGGUUGCCCGCCUGGCCUCUGGAGGCCCCCGGGUCUGCUCCACUCUGCCAGUCCACCGACGGAAGAACGGAGCACUGUGGCGUAUCUGCCCACGGCUCCUCUUAUCCGCUCAACAAAUAUGUAUGAGGCAAGUUAGACUGAAGACGAAUGAGCAUCGCAAGACCCCUGUCCACGUACAAACCAGGGUCACCAGGGAGGGAAACGGAGAGCCUUACAAGGAAGCAAGUCUGCAGAAGUUUUACAGGUAGCGGGUAGCGGAGGCUGGCAGUCUGGGAAGCAGGAAGGACUGGGAAUAACCGACUGGCACCUUCCGAGAAGCCGCCGGGGGUAACGGUCCAGUGAACAGACCAACAGGUGCACCUGGCCAGCCCGGGCGUGGUGGCUUGGCUCUGUGACCUUAGGCACAACACUCUUUCUCAGCAGCCAAAAGGAGGUAUGGCAGGCGACCCCGUGUGACAGAAGCCUCUGCACAAUGUACUGCUCUCUCGUGGAUGGAAAUAGCGCAAUAAGGAACAUUACGGCUGUCUGUGCAGGAAGAAUGACCCGCAUUCCCCAGAGGGACCUCGCAGAGAUCCAAACUGGGCGCCACUAGACUAAAACAGCAUUGGAUCCGCCCACGGCUCCUCUUAUCCGUUCAACAAAUAUUUAUGAAGCGAGUUUCUGUGCCUAGCCUCGCUAAGCCCCGGGACUGCUUCAGCCAUGAGAAAGGACAAGGAGGUCACUGCCCUCGUGAAACCUAAUGUCUCCUAGCGGUAGACCCUUAGACGGAAUCUUACAAAUAAUGAGUUAAUAAUAAUUUGAUAUCUAUGAAGAGGGGCAGAGGUCUCCAUGAGAUCCUUAGGGAACCUAGUCCAGUGUGAGGUUCAGUAAAUCUUCCUCAAUAAAAAUGACAUUUCCGUUGGGACCGGAAGGGGUUACGCAGCGGAGAGCUGGGAGAGGGGGCCUGUUCUUGGCAGAGGAGACCAUGUGCUGGAGAAAGCGCCGGAAGGUCAGGGUGGCUGGGGUGUGGUGAGUCAGGAGGGACGGAGAGAUGAGUAAAAGCCCGAUGGGAAGGGCCUGGAAGGCCUGGAGGAGGGACUCCGUCUUUGCCCUGAGAGCAACUGGAAGACCAGCGGAAGGUUUUAAGAAGAACGAUGUGCUCAGACUCCGGUCUCCCGUUUGGCUUCUACCAGAUGACGUGUGGCCGCGGAUCCUCCUUGGGAUUUUCUGUGUACAUUCAGCCCCAGGUGGAAAGGAUUGUGGAAGCAAAAAUGGCGCCCCCAUGUCAUUGUCCUGUUCACUGCAAGUGGACCCGCGGGCUCUCCGAGGAACAAGCAACCCAUAGACAUGCUGAGGACAAAGGCAGUCUGGUCUGACGGCUCCAAAGAACGAAACGGCAACACAAAACGCAACCAAGAAACCCAACAACAGCAACAAAAAACCCUGGGUGUUCCAGGUCAGACUUAAAUCGGUUCCUCCAGGGCUAAUUCUCACUACUGUCCCAUUGUCAUUAGUGGUACCACUGCUAAUUACGACGACCACAGCUACUACUGACGAAGGGCUCAUGGCCUGCCAGUUACAUAUAAACAGAUAAAUGUGUAUACAUAAGUGUUAUAAACAUAUAUACACACAAAUAUAUAUAUGCACGUGUACAAAAUAGAUGUGUACCCUGGUUCUAAUCCGUGCAAGAAAAACCUGCCUGAAAGACGGAUAUGACUGUUCCCAAUUCAUCUGAUGUACAAGGAAAGGGAGUUUUACAACGUCCAGAGCGACGUUGACGGUAAGGGUAGAGGCAGGUUUGGAACACGUGUCUGUCUUCGAAGCCCUGACGUGUCCCCAUCACCACACCGACCCCGGUAAGUAGAGGCCGGGCGAGCGUAUGGGGCACAGUAUGCAUGGGCUUACGCAGAAUUCACCCUGCUCGCUUCUUUUCUUUUUUCAAAAAAAAUUAAAAAAAAAAUUUUUUUUAA